rnacentral:rRNA from 1 species
CCCUUAGAUGUUCUGGGCCGCACGCGUGCUACACUGAGUGGAUCAGCGGGUCAGGUUACGCGAGAGCGUUUCCUAAUCUUCAAAUCCGCUCGUGAUGGGGAUUGACGGUUGCAAUUUUCCGUCAUGAACGAGGAAUACCUUGUAAGCGCGGGUCAUCAUCCCGCGCUGAAUACGUCCCUGCCCUUUGUACACACCGCCCGUCGCUCCUACCGAUUGAGUGGCCCGGUGAGGCUUUGGGAUCUAAGCGAAAAGAGCGUUUCGCUCCUUUUGCUGGGAGAACUCAGUCGAACCUUAUCAUUUAGAGGAAGGAGAAGUCGUAACA